rnacentral:rRNA from 1 species
CAGUCGCCGCGGGAAUACGAAGGGGGCUAGCGUUGUUCGGAUUUACUGGGCGUAAAGGGCGCGUAGGCGGGCUGAUAAGUCAGGGGUGAAAUCCCAAGGCUCAACCUUGGAACUGCCUUUGAUACUGUUUGUCUUGAGUUCGAGAGAGGUAAGUGGAACUGCGAGCGUAGAGGUGAAAUUCGUAGAUAUUCGCAAGAACACCAGUGGCGAAGGCGGCUCACUGGCUCAUACUGGACGCUGAGGUGCGAAAGCGUGGGGAGCAAACAGGAUUAGAGACCCGUGUAGUCCCUGUCUCUUAUAC